AGCACAGCGCCGGCGAGGGUGAAGAACGUGUUCAAGCCGAGGAUUCAGGUGGAGGAUUUUCACAGCGAUUGCGAUUCGUCCUCUUCCGUGGUGGAUGACCGUGACACGACGUCGUUUCACAAGCCGUUCUCUUUUGAUCUCAAUUUACCUCCGCCGUUGGAUGAUGAUAUGGAUAUCGAAAAUCCCGAUGAUUUACAAGCUACUGCUCUGUGUCUCUGAUUAAAGUAAGAAGACAAAGAUGACGAUGACAAAAACAUCUAAUGGUUAUAUUUCCUUCUUUUUAAUGAGAGAAACUUGUUUUUAUUUGCUCCUUUUUCAAAACUUCUUAAUGAAUUAGUGGAUUUGAUGAAAUAGGGUUUGCUUCAACUCUACUAUUUAUGUUGGAGUUUGGACUGUAGAGUUACAUGGCGCACCCACUCAUUUGUAUGUGUAUUACAGAAGAAAACAUAUGAGAUCUGAUCUUGAGUUUUGUAUAUCUCGAUCUCAUUUCUAUCAACCAUGCUCGUUGCUUGUUUUCUUUCCUUCACCCUCCCAUGUAUAAAGUUUUUAAAAAGAUUUACACUUGUUUAUGGAAUUUUUUGUUGGUUAUUGUGUUGAGCUGUCUUCUAUCUGUUUUUUCAUGUCAAUAUGUUAAACAUCGGUAGGUGUUAUUGUAUUGAUGAUUUUUGGUUUGAUCAGUAUGGUGUCUGUUCAGUUAGAUUGCAAACUAGAAAUUGGUAUUCAACAGUUGGAUUUAGUGUGAUUAGUCUAGGUUUUAUCUUUUUAACUAUAGGUAUUCUUUCAGGAGCAGUAUGGGCUAAUGAAGCAUGGGGGUCAUAUUGGAAUUGGUACCCAAAGAUUAUUACUUAUAAACUUGUUAAUUCUGGGUUGCAAUAGUGAUUUUUACUAAUAUAAGUAGCAAUCUGUGAUGGUGCUUUGUGUUCUUGUGACUGUUAAUUUGUACUAACGUGACUCAGAAUGUGUAGGUUGUAACAGAUGUUUAAUGGUGCUUUGUAUCAAUGUGAUGAUUUGCGGGUACAUACUAUUGAUUAGUAGUAAACGAUGAUGGAAAGUGUAUCAAAUUGCCUGGAUGUUGAGAAUUGGCAUAAGUGGAAAAUGUGUAUCAAAUUGCUCAGGCCCUUGAGAUUUGGCUUUGGUUUAUUAUGAGAAACAGCUAUUGGCUAUUGCAUAUGUGAUUGUGGAGUAAUACAUGUCCCAUUAUAUUUUGAUGAAGAGAUAUGCCAAACGAAACAAGUGGCAUGUAAACACAUAUCAUGGAUUAUAGGUGUAGAUACACCACCAUACCCCUGCCGGUCAGAGCUAUGUACACACUUUAUUAUCUCUUUAUACAACUUGCAUGCAGAAGAUAAAAUCUUGGGCAAGUUAACAUGUGUAAGUGAAGGUCUUAACUUAAACACAAUUGGGGUUGGCUAAAAUAGUUUAUGUGCACAUUAGAUUAGUUUAAAUGCUGUCUAUGUAUAUGAUUUGUGUUGUACUUGAUGCUUUUACAAGUUCUCCAGAGAUACAGGUGUGUAUUUGAUGAAGUUGGAGUCCAACUCUUUAAAUCUGUGUCACACUUGGUCUUUGAUUGAGUUGUUCAACAGUCUAAAGACAAAAUUUGAUAAACAAAGAAAAAGUAAGGACAUGAUAAUAUUUUUGAAACAAGAGGUCAGGUGAAUAAUGUUUGCGGCAAAAAUGACCUUUUCUUUAAUGGAAGUUUCAACUUCACCACAAGUAUUCUGAUCACCUGUAAGCUGGAACUGAUCACUGAUCAGUAUUUAGUCUUCACCGAUAAAGUGUGUGGUUUAGUUCCAUUACCAGCUCAUCGUCCUCCUGUUCAAGUUCUAUUGUCAGGUCGUCUUCCCCUGGUUGACAAAUAUAGUUGUUCACCCGAAGAAUCUUGAGAGUGCUCCAAUUCAUUACUUGCAGUGCCUUGAUGUUUUUGAAAUUUGUCAGACUCUCCAUAUCUACUUUGGUCGUCGACCAGAGAUGUUCUUAUACAUUCCUCUGCUCUAAAGGAUAAGCUCAAUGUCCAAUUCGACGGUUUCGAUGUCGAAUGCAGGCCGCUAUAUCUCUUUUUAAGCAUGAUCAUAUUCGGCCUCAUGUCAUCUAGAGUACAAAUUGAGCAAUUGAUUUUGAAAUAUUAGUGCAAGUAAAAACAAAAACAGAGGGGAUGAAUACCCUCUUAAGCAAAUAUAAACAAAAAGUUCGUUUUAGGCUAUACACAACUUAACUGAUCAAAUUCUUCUUAUUCAGUAGUUGUUUGCCACAGUUGUAUGAUUAUAUACUCAUCAUUUCUUCAAAAACUUAUUACUUUUUCACCUUGUUAUAAUAAUUUUACUUAAAAAGAUAUGAGAAUUUUUGUAUUAAAAAUAUGUUCAGUUUGGUCCAAAAAUUAUACAUAUUAAUUAUCUUGACUUGUUAAUAUAAUUUAACUAUUUUUUUAGAGUUGUAAUAUAAUAAAGUCGUAAUAUAUUUGAUCUCAAAAUUCUCAAAAAUUAUGUAAUUUUAUUUUAAAAACAAAGAACCUUUAUAUUUAUAUAUAUUCUCGUUGAUCGCGUGUUUGAUCACGUAAUUUUAUGAGUAGAGACUCUUGAUUAAUAUUAUAAAAAGUUUGGAAUUAAAUUUAAUAUGCAUAAUUUAAAAAAAAAAUAUAACUAUUAUUAUUAAUUACUCAUGAAAAUACCUGAAAGUAAUUUUUAUUUUAAAUAGCACCCCAGGUAAAUUAAUCAUCGACUUUCCUAAAAAAAAAAAAUAUCAUCGACUUGUUGGGUCCAUAAGUUUUCAUUGUCGUUUGAAUCCCAUUGUGUGGUUCACCCUAAUUCAACUCUUGAUGAUAAUCAUAUUUCUCCUGAGUUUGAUAGUUGUUGCGAUUAUCAUGUAUCGUUUUAGGACCUCCUCGGGUUCUGCAAAACUGAAUUUGCCUCGUAUCAAAAAAAAAGCUUUGAAUUCAUGGACUGCUAUUCAGGACACUUAUUUCUCUACCAAGGUUUCUACACUCUCUUUAGUCUUGUCUUAAUGUGUUUAUGUUUGUGUACUUGUGAUGUUUAUUGUGUGUUUCGUGAUUAUAGGACACAUUUGAGAGGCACAAAGUGGUGUUUACUGUCUCCACUUCUGUUGCUACAGCUUGACUCGGUAAUUUCGAUUCACUUGUUCAUGUGCCAUGUUUAUUUUUACGUUGUCCACUAUACUUUUCUCCUACUCACAAGUUCGUAGAGAUUGUUAUCCCAUCUAGAAAUCAUCGUUAAAUGAAAUGUAAGUCGAUGUACUUCAAAAUAAACUUGGAAGAAUUAGAUAAAAGGUUAGUUAAAUUCGGAAUUAUAUGGUUGCAAAAUUCAACUAAGAUUGGAGUGGAAGUCCUGUUUUAGGACCAAAAAGGACAUUUAGCGCAAUAUUAUAGCAAUAGCUAUAGCUGUUUUGCAUAUAGCAAUUGACUUGCUCUUAGUGAUGAAAGUUUGUGAAACACAUUAGAGCCACUAUCAUCAUUUUGUUUAUAGAGUUUAAAAUUGUGUUUAAAAACAUGAAAUUCAUAUUAACAAUGGAUUUUAGAUGACAUGAAUUGGGUUGUAAUAUCAAUUCUCAAAUUUAUGCUAUUAUCUGAAUGUCUUAAAAUUAAAUCAAAUUCAAGUCAUGAUAUUUUUGAUUAUCCAAACAUGUCAUUUGGACCAAAUUCCUAAUUUUAAGUUCCCAAACCAUUAAGUUAUUUCACCAAUUUUAUCUACAAUAAACAAACAAUUAAGAAACUUAGCAACCGGAAUAGGGAGGUCGGCUUUGAGUUCUAUUGGACAUUUUUUCAUCUUUACAGCAAUAUCAGUGGCAUAAUUGUUGGGUACCCUUUUGAAAGUACAAAUUCCAUCGAAGUCAGUAGUUGUGAAACGCACCGUAGCCUACUGUCUUAAUAAAUUUUAAUUCCUGUUAAAAGGUGAGGAGUAGCCAGCGGACAUAGUGAAGCAAAAGCUGAAUUUUUCAGCUAUGUAAUCAAAGCUAUUGAGGACCAACAAGUGAAGAGGAUUAUAUGUACAAUUAUCACAGUAUUGUCCUAUAUUAUGGCUUUGAUUGCGGAGAGAUUGUAUUUUUGAAAUUCGUCAAUCAGUGUCCAAUGAUACACUGGGAAUAAUAAGUGAACUGAUUAAGCCAAGGAGUUAGUCAACCAAAUUACAACGGUUGUCAAAUUUAUUCAAAGAGAGUUUUCAAGUGUGACAAAAUUAACAAUUUAAUUUGAAAAUGCUGAGAACUAUACAUACAGAAAUAUUAAAUAGUGAAUGUCAAACCCUAGAAGUUUUCACUUGAUUUGUUCCCUAACCUCUAGUCUGAUGGUCCUAUUCUAUGUUCAUAUACAGAUAUGGUAUAUAUAUUUAAUAUUUAAUAAUAUCCAAUUGCAUAAAUACCUCCUUUAACUAGAUUGACUGGUCACACCCUUGAACCUUUGUUCACAUGAGCUCGUAGAAGACUAGGUGGUUUAAGAAAAUACUGUAGGACAAUGGUGGGAAGAGGUCAAAUCACCUUUCUUUGCUGAGAAUCGGCAAAACACAAGUAGAUUUUCAAAUUUAUUCAUAACACUCUAAGAUUAAUGUAUAUAGUUUCAACCCUCAACUUUAUCAAAUAAUGAAGGGUACAAUUUUUUAAAUUGAUACUCUCUCCGUUUCAAAUUAGAUGUCCACUUUAAAAAAAUCACACAGUUUAAGAAAAGUGGAUGUUCACAAAUUAAUUGCAUUAAAUGAUUAAAAUAUGACGAGUGAGAUUGAUCUAGGAAAUAUAAAUAAGAGAUAUGUGGAGUAGAAUUGAUCUUGGAAAUAUGAUUUUGCAUUGAAAGUUGAAGUGGACAAGUAAUUUGAAACAAAAUUUUUUCUUAAAAGUGGACAUGUAAAUUGAAACGGAGGGAGUAUCUUAUAACUUGGUGGUCAAAAAUCUCAUGUAAAUAUAUACUAAGCCUAAUUGAUAACACUGCCUAAUAACUGUCUACUUCCAAAUUUAACACAUUUAACAAUGGUACAAAUUAUCUUUUCUUAAUAUACUUAAACAGUUGCAACCACUUAAAUUUAUAAAUAAAUAUAAAAUAAUCAACAAUUAAUCAUUAAUUCCUUGCCCCCCAUUAUUCUCCUCGCCAGUGAAAAACACUUGUCCAUGAGUUCUAUAAAAAUUAAGGAUAAAAAACCAUGAUCAAAGCAGAAUAUUCCAAUUGCAAUUUGGAACUGUGUAGACAUGCUUAGGGUGCAGCACCUCAGUAAAGAAAUUCGAAAUCUUUUAAAACUUGACAGUUUUAUCAGAAUCAACAAAAUCAGCGUGAUCUUACAGUUUUAAAGAAUGUUGGAACUGCAGUAAAAUUGGACCAUGACGAGUUUUCUUUGUUUUUAUCUUUGUUAAUUUUAUUUUCCAAGAAAAAUUGGAGGUGCUUGAUCAGAUUAACUUUGUUGUUUCUGAUGCAAUAUUUGUCUUAAGGGCUCAAAAUUUUUCAUUGUGGCGAUGUUGUUACCGUGUCUGUAAGUAAUGCUUAUUACACUUGGAAUACAUUCCAAACAUGGACUUGCAUAGAAUUACAGUAUAUAGCUCAUCGCAGUUCGCUCUAUAAAUGCUUGCUUACUAAAAUUGCAAUGCCUUUCACGUGCUCAUUCUUUCUAUGAAUUAAAGUCUACAUUACUAUAAAUUUUACACGAGCUUUCUGUUUUUCUUUGGACAACGACUACAAGGGAUCAGUAUCUUAUGUUCUCAUUCUUUUGAAUUAUGACCAUUAUAUUCCUGCAUCAACUUGCUGAAGCAGAUGUAAGUUUACUGACCAGUAGGAGGAUAAUUGAGAAUUUAGUCAGAUAAGUUGUAAAUUUUGAGAAGAGUAUUUAUUUUAGGAUGAUGAGUGUUAUCGCCAAGUGGAGAUAUUUACAUAUUUACAAAUUACAACUUUAGAUAAGAUAGAUAUACCAGAAGCUCGAAACUAUCAUCUAAAAUCAUCUACGUUAAACGUUAGAGUUGUUGAACUUAAUAAGUCAAUGGCCGGGUUACCUGGACUGAUUUCGUAAACUUACGAAAGGAAGUGUACAACCAUUAGUUUCACGUCAUUAGGAUAGUGCAAUAUGCCAACAUCGAAUUAGGAAUAUGAAACUAAUAGUUGGUAUAUUUUUAUUGACUGUAGUUAGUUAAGCCACAUACAAAGUUUUGUUAAUUAUAGCUUGAGUACCUUGUUUUUAAGUGAACAUAAAGGAUGCUGCUGUUGUUAUUUAUGAGUUAUUCGUUCGUAGCAUUUUCUCCCUCUUAUCCCUGUAUUAGGAAUGUGAGCUAAAUUCUUCAAUUUUGUUACAAGACCUUACCAUCACAUAUCUACUUGUGUAGUAAUGCUUCUGAAUCUUGCCUUUUGAGAUUAAUGUCGUGUUUGGUAAAAUUGAAACAAACUGGGAGGGAAUGGAGUGAAAUUUAGAAUAUUUUAUGGGCGAAGUGGUGAACAUGAAUGAUUUUCAUUUUCUUUCUCUAUUUCAUUCCCCUAGAAUAUUUUAUGUUCAUUUAAUGCACACUAUUAGUAACUUCAAGUGACGGGAUGUGUGCACAUACUGUGACUUCAUGUCACUGAUGGUGUACACCUAUUUCGUUAUCCAACUGUGUACAUGUAACCGGCCCUUAUGUAAAUAUCUAUAUAAGUGUAUAUAGCUUCCUGUGACUGCUCCUGCCAUUGCACCACUUUUCUCUUGGAAUAUGAAAGCACGAGUAAAUAACAUGAGAUUAAACAUCAUCAAAACUAUUUAUCCAAAAUAUUUAACCAGAUCAUCACACCUUAACAAAUUAACCAGAAUAGAUGACGUGUCAUUAUAUCAGUUUGUCAUGCUUAAAUAAAUAUUUCUUGAUUGUUACAAAUAUAUUGGCCUGCUUCAUUAGACCAGAUAGUUUAACGGUCGAACUUUGAUUCACUCUACAGGAAAGUUUCACUGGAUCGACAGAAGUGAAGUGUUUAAUAAUGAAGAAUGCAACAAUGAGCAACUUGAAACAAGUCUCGCUUGAACUAGAUGAGCUAUUAUUAAAAUGGAUAUCCAGUUAUCCAUGAAAUCACCAUUUCAGUCAUAUCUACCCAUUUCAGUUAUAUCUAUCGAAAUUGAUGGAUCUCAUGUUUUUUGGCCUGUGACUGGAAUAUGCGCUGCAAGUGUGUUUAACAGGAAGAUGUAUGCAUAAAUAUGUAUGCAUAUAGGUAUACACAGAAAAAUCUAAUUUGAUGUCUACGUAUAUUCACUGCAUAUCAGUCACAAAAUACGUUUUCUGUUACGUCAAUUACUUAAAUUAACGGGAUUAUCAUUAUUCAUCGUUAUAGUGGUACAUUAGAGACUCCGAUAACUAUACAAAUGAUGUGAUACAUGAUCUCACUUCAAUAACUACUUUGAUAUUCAACUCAGUCCAAAUAUAAAACUUCAAGUCCUAAUGACAAGGAAAAAACUUUAUAUUAUUUCAGAAUAUUUAUCAAAAGCUUAUAUAAACAAAGCUCUUAGUUUUUCAUUUUUCAUUUUUUUGCUAAAGAGUUCUAUUUUCGAAAGUUUCACUUAUGUCCAUUAUAGAAUGCACCUCAUAUCAUAUUAAGUAUGACAUAUUUUUUUAGAAUAUAUACACUUUCAAGUUUGAAUCCACCAAAGUUCCUAAUUUCGACGGCAACAAUAAAAACACACAUAUAUGAAUAAUUACACCUUCAAUCUUUAUCUGUUUAAUGAUAAAGAUAAAGAUUAUAUACGAUUUAGAGACAUAAAACGUCAUCCCUUAAUAACGUUCGUCGAAAUCUCGAGAUUAGUACUUUCCUCUAAUUACUUCGCAAUAAUCUAUUUGGUUUUAUUUUUAUAAUAUGACAUCACAUGGGAAUAAAAACUCAAUAACAAAUAGAUUUAUUUUUGAUUGUAUACAUGUAUAAAUUAAUUUUGAAUUAAGAUAUGCAUUUUGAUUCAAUAUUUUGAAUUAAGGAUAUAUUUAUGAUCAUUACUACAUUCAUUUAUCGUAAAUGAACGGAAAGUAAUUAAAUAAUUAUUGUAGUAAAAGGUCAGAAUUAUAAAACUAUUUAUACAUAUUCUCAAUUGGUUGAAAUAUCUUCUGCAACCAUCAGUUACGUAUAUCUAUCGUUGCUGAUCACGUAUGUGAUAUAAAUGACGAAUGUCGAUAUGAAAGCUAAUGAUCUUAUUGGUUCUAUAUUUAAUAUUUUAUCAAUAGCGUAAAUAUUUAUUAAUGUUGAUGAUAUAUAAACUUAUAAAUAGUCAGUAUUAAAUUACUUUUUAUUGGUUGAAAAGUCAUAUAUUGCAUGUAAAUUUUCGUUAAUGUUCUUCUUUCAGAAUUUACAUGAUUGUCUUUUUUUUAUCAUAUAUUUUUUUAUAUAAUUAAAUAAAAUUAAUAUGGUGAAAAUCCAUUUAUAACUUUCUCAGUUUGUUUAAAAAUAUGGAAAACAAUAUUACUUUUAAAAAUCAUCAAUAAAAUAAAAAAUGAUUCUUCUAAAUAAAAACAGACAUUACUCAAACUUGUUAUUAUAUAAUCUUGAAAUACAUUUCAUUUGUUUAGAAUAAUUAUUCUAUUUUUCUCACUCAACAUGAGACUCAAAUAUAAAUUAUAUAAUAUAGUUUAACGCAUGUGUUGGAGCAAGUGUUACAGAAAUCUCGGCUGAGUUACCGAUUCAAGAUUAAUCAGAAAUCGGAACUAUUAAUCAGAGCGAGAAUCAGAUUUAUUUUAACAUUUAAAUAUUAAUUAAUAUUUAAUAUUAUUAUAUUAACUAUUUAAAACUCAAUCAAAUCAAAGAGAAUACAAUAAAGGCAGUUUCUCCAUUGCGAAGAGAGAGAUAAACAAAGAGUCAAAAAAAUAUCAAAUAAAAUUUCAAUAAAUGAGAGAAAAAUAAUUAAAUCAUCGAGAGAAAACAAGAAGCCUUUGAGAUUCAAUCAAGGAGAGUUGGUUGGCUUCUGAUUUAUAUAUACAAACUCAUACAAAUCAAUUCUACACCACCACUUUCCGAUCUCUCCGAUAUGCGACGCAACAACAGAUCCAAGCCGGCGACGGAGACGCCGAUCGCCGCUGCCGCCGCCGGUAACGAGCCGAGAUAUCGCGGCGUUCGCCGGCGUCCGUGGGGCCGAUUCGCUGCCGAGAUUCGCGAUCCGUGGAAGAAAACUCGUGUCUGGCUCGGUACGUUUGACUCGGCUGAGGACGCGGCUCGCGCCUACGACGCCGCCGCGAGAUCUCUCCGUGGACCGAAGGCGAAAACAAAUUUUCCGAUUUUUUCGGAAAAUCAAGCCGGCGGCGAUCGGAAUAAUCUCGGCCAGCCGAUUUAUGUGUACCGGCCGACGAGUAGUAGCCUGAGCAGCACGGUGGAGUCGUCGUGUGGUCCGACAGCGGCGGCUUCGAGCACAGCGCCGGCGAGGGUGAAGAACGUGUUCAAGCCGAGAAUUCAGGUGGAGGAUUUCCACAGCGAUUGCGAUUCGUCCUCUUCCGUGGUGGAUGACUGUGACACGACGUCGUUUCACAAGCCGUUCUCUUUUGAUCUCAAUUUACCUCCGCCGUUGGAUGAUGAUAUGGAUAUCGAAAAUCCCGAUGAUUUACAAGCCACUGCUCUGUGUCUCUGAUUAAAGCAAGAAGAUGACAAAAACACCUAAUGGUUAUAUUUCCCUUUUUUUUAAAUGAGAGAAACUUGUUUUUAUUUGCU
rnacentral:lncRNA from 1 species